AACGAACGCUGGCGGCGUGGCUAAGACAUGCAAGUCGAACGGACUGUCCAAUUUAUUGAACAGUUAGUGGCGAAAGGGUUAGUAACGGAUGGGUAACGUACCCUGUGCUUUGGGAUAGCGUCAUCCCGAUUUAUCGGGAUUUCCGAAAGGGGCGGUAAUACCAAAUAAUAUCAUUUGUCGAUAGGCAGAUGACCAAAGAUUUAUCGGCACGGGAGCGGCCUGUCUCCUAUCAGCUUGUUGGUGAGGUAAUGGCUCACCAAGGCAUCGACGGGUAGCGGGACUGAGAGGUUGACCCGCAACAUCGGGACUGAGACACUGCCCGGACCUCCACGGAGGGCUGCAGUAACGGAUAUUGUGCAAUGGGCGAAAGCCUGACACAGCGACGCCGCGUGUAGGAGGAAGUCUUUCGGGAUGUAAACUACUGUCAGGGGGAAGAAAGUGCGCUUCGGCGUAUGAUCUAAC
rnacentral:rRNA from 1 species